GUGAGGAUCCGGGAUCAGGUUGAGAACUUCUAUUAGAGGCAUCACCACUUCCAUCUCAUCAAGCUGCUUUUCU
rnacentral:sRNA from 1 species